UACGAAGGGGGCUAGCGUUGCUCGGAAUCACUGGGCGUAAAGGGCGCGUAGGCGGCUUGAUAAGGUUGCGGUGAAAGCCCGGGGCUCAACCCCGGGUCGGCCGUGGCAACUGUCGAGCUGGAGCACUGUAGAGGCAGGUGGAAUUCCGGGUGUAGCGGUGGAAUGCGUAGAGAUCCGGAAGAACACCGGUGGCGAAGGCGGCCUGCUGGGCAGUGGCUGACGCUGAGGCGCGACAGCGUGGGGAGCAAACAGG
rnacentral:rRNA from 1 species